UGUGGUUUAUUCGAUGAUACGCGAGGAACCUUACCCGGGCUUGAAUUGCAACUGAAUGAUGUGGAGACAUGUCAGCCGCAAGGCAGUUGUGAAGGUGCUGCAUGGUUGUCGUCAGCUCGUGCCGUGAGGUGUCGGCUUAAGUGCCAUAACGAGCGCAACCCUUAUCGAUAGUUACCAUCAGGUUAUGCUGGGGACUCUGUCGAGACUGCCGUCGUAAGAUGUGAGGAAGGUGGGGAUGACGUCAAAUCAGCACGGCCCUUACGUCCGGGGCUACACACGUGUUACAAUGGGGGGUACAGAAGGCAGCUACACGGCGACGUGAUGCUAAUCCCUAAAGCCUCUCUCAGUUCGGAUUGGAGUCUGCAACCCGACUCCAUGAAGCUGGAUUCGCUAGUAAUCGCGCAUCAGCCACGGCGCGGUGAAUACGUUCCCGGGCCUUGUACACACCGCCCGU
rnacentral:rRNA from 1 species